rnacentral:rRNA from 1 species
UACAGAGGGGGCAAGCGUUGUUCGGAAUCACUGGGCGUAAAGGGUGCGUAGGCGGGUUUUUAAGUCAGAGGUGAAAUCCUGGAGCUCAACUCCAGAACUGCCUUUGAUACUGAGAAUCUUGAGUAUGGGAGAGGUGAGUGGAACUGCGAGUGUAGAGGUGAAAUUCGUAGAUAUUCGCAAGAACACCAGUGGCGAAGGCGGCUCACUGGCCCAUAACUGACGCUGAAGCACGAAAGCGUGGGGAGCAAACAGG